AUAAGGUAAUAAGGGCAUACGGUGGAUGCCUUGGUACCAACAGCCGAAGAAGGACGUGGCAAGCUGCGAGAAGCUGCGGCGAGGCGCAAGCGGCCUUUGACCCGCAGAUGUCCGAAUGGGGCAACCCACCUGGAGUAGUCCAGGUAUCCCGUAAGGGAAGGAACCCGGAGAAGUGAAACAUCUCAGUAUCCGGAGGAAGAGAAAUCGAAGAGAUUCCCUAAGUAGUGGUGAGCGAACGGGGAAGAGCCUAAACCAUAUACAUGUAAGGCUGCGGUCGUUGUGUAUAUGGUGUAGAGGGGCUUUUCAUGCAUAGUCCGCAGGCUAGGCACGGAGUUAUCAAGAUACUUUUUAGCAGAACUGUGUUGGGAAAGCAGGCCAUAGACGGUGAGAGCCCGGUAUGCGACAGAGAGUAUCCUCCGAGAAGAGUUCCCGAGUAGGCCGGAGCACGUGGAAUUCCGGUUGAAUCAGGGUGGACCAUCAUCCAAGGCUAAAUACUGUUGGUGACCGAUAGUGGAUGAGUACCGAGAGGGAAGGGUGAAAAGCACCCCUGGCGGGGAGUGAAAUAGACCUGAACCCGUAUGCCUACAAGCAAUCGGAGCAAGAGAUGCCGCGAGGCAUUGAAUGUGACGGUGUGCCUUUUGUAAAAUGAGCCGGCGAGUUAUUAGACGUAGCGAGGUUAAGGUGCGUAUGUGCACUGGAGCCGUAGGGAAACCGAGUCUGAAUAGGGCGCAAGUUUCGUUUAAUAGACCCGAAGCCGCACGAUCUAUCCAUGGCCAGGUUGAAGUCCGGGUGAAGCCGGAUGGAGGACCGAACCAGUUUCUGUUGAAAAAGAUUUGGAUGAGCUGUGGAUCGGAGUGAAAAGCUAAUCGAGUGCGGUGAUAGCUGGUUCUCCCCGAUAUGCAUUGAGGUGCAGCCUUACGGAAUUGAGAUAUGGGGGUAGAGCACUGGAUGGACGCGGGGGACUGGGGUCCUACCAAAUUCAACCAAACUUCGAAUACCAUAUUUUGUACCGUAGGAGUGAGACUACGGGUGAGAAGGUCCGUGGUCGUGAGGGAAACAGCCCAGACCGUCAGCUAAGGUCCCAAAGCGUAUGCUAAGUGUGGCAAGGAUGUGAGAGUGCCUGGACAGCCAGGAGGUUGGCUUAGAAGCAGCCACCCUUUAAAGAGUGCGUAACAGCUCACUGGUCGAGGACUUUUGCGCCGAGAAUGUAGGGGGCUAAGCAUACUGCCGAAGCUGCGGGAUAUGUGCAAGAGUGUAUAUAUCGGUAGGGGAGCGUUCCAUACGGGGCGAAGCAGAGCCGCGAGGUCAUGUGGACUGUAUGGAAGUGAGAAUGCUGGCAUGAGUAACGCGAAGUGCGUGAGAAACGUACUCACCGGAAGCCCAAGGGUUCCUGGGGAAGGUUCAUCCGCCCAGGGUUAGGCGGGACCUAAGGCGAGGCCGAGAGGCGUAGUCGAUGGAUAGCAGGUAGAUAUUCCUGUCCCAGCCAAUGAGCGUUAAUACCGAAGGGGUGACACAGAAAGCUAGGUGAUCCGGGUGAUGGAAGUCCCGGUCCAAGGGUGUAGGGAGUUUCCGCAGGCAAAUCCGCGGGAAUAAUUCUGAGACCUGAUGGGGAGGCCCUACGGGGUCGAAGUCAUUGAAGCUCGGCUGUCGAGAAAAGCCUCUAGGGAGUUUGUUGGUUGCUCGUACCCGAAACCGACACAGGUGGGCUAGCUGAGGAAGCUAAGGUGAGCGGGAAAACCCUCGUUAAGGAACUCUGCAAGUUGACCCCGUAACUUCGGGAGAAGGGGUGCCACUCUGGUGAAAUAUAAUCAUAUGGAGCUAAGGGUGGUCGCAGAAACCAGGCUCAGGCGACUGUUUACUAAAAACACAGGUCUCUGCAUAAGGCGUAAGCCGAAGUAUAGGGACUGACACCUGCCCGGUGCUGGAAGGUUAAAUGGAGAGGUUAGCGUAAGCGAAGCCUUGAUAUGAAGCCCCAGUAAACGGCGGCCGUAACUAUAACGGUCCUAAGGUAGCGAAAUUCCUUGUCGGGUAAGUUCCGACCUGCACGAAUGGUGUAACGAUCUGAGCACUGUCUCAACGAGGGACCCGGUGAAAUUGUGGUACUGGUAAAGACGCCAGUUACCUGUGGUGGGACGGAAAGACCCCGUGGAGCUUUACUGUAGCCUGAUAUUGGAUUUUGGUCUGUCAUGUACAGGAUAGGUGGGAGGCGUAGAAUGGAGGGCGUCAGCCUUUCAGGAGCCGUUGUUGGGAUACCACCCUUGACAUACCGAAGUUCUAACUGUUGAGUCUGAAUCGGCUGGCAGGACAUUGUCAGGUGGGCAGUUUGACUGGGGCGGUCGCCUCCUAAAGAGUAACGGAGGCGCCCAAAGGU
rnacentral:rRNA from 1 species